UUUGUGAGAUUUUUUUUCACGAGAUCCCCCUGAGUAGCGGAAGAGCAGGACCAGAAAUCAACCUGACAAAUCUGAAGUGGUUCAGAAAACCAUCAAAAAAAGAAAGUCCUCAUUAAGCGUAUCUCUGUGUGGAAAGCUCAACGCACCCUGCACAAUAACUUCACUUCUUGGAAUGAAUCCUGUCUAUCUGUGUUAGCGCGCUGCCUCUGGCAACAACGGGUUUCAGUUUUCAGAGAAGGCCACGUUUUGUGUUGUAUAAGAUGAAUUUUUCUCAGUGAAAUAAAAGAACGACAUUCAUAACACCAUAGAGUUUGUUUUAAUUUAUAUUUAAAUGUGUACUGAUAAAACCUUUCUUAGUUUUAAAGAAGGAAACUCAAGGUAAGACCAUGUCAGCUUUGCCUCACUCCUGACAAACUCGACCAAUUAACCAAG